CCUACGGGUGGCAGCAGUGAGGAAUAUUGGUCAAUAGACUAGAGUCUGAACCAGCCAAGUAGCGUGAAGGAUGACUGCCCUAUGGGUUGUAAACUUCUUUUAUAUGGGAAUAAAACGUUCCACGUGUGGGAUUUUGUAUGUACCAUAUGAAUAAGGAUCGGCGAACUCCGUGCCAGCAGCCGCGGUAAUACUGAGGAUCCGAGCGUUAUCCGGAUUUAUUGGGUUUAAAGGGAGCGUAGGUGGAUUGUUAAGUCAGUUGUGAAAGUUUGCGGCUCAACCGUAAAAUUGCAGUUGAAACUGGCAGUCUUGAGUACAGUAGAGGUGGGCGGAAUUCGUGGUGUAGCGGUGAAAUGCUUAGAUAUCACGAAGAACUCCGAUUGCGAAGGCAGUUCACUGGACUGCAACUGACACUGAGGCUCGAAAGUGUGGGUAUCAAACAGGAUUAGAUACCCUUGUAGUC
rnacentral:rRNA from 1 species